GGAACUUUGGAAUACUCAGAGCAAUUGUUUGAGGAGAACUUUGUUUGCGAAGCUGGAACAGCUCGAGAUGUCGAUGGCCGACUGGUUCUCGGUGGUCUCUCCCUCGGGGGGGGAUCAGAUAUGAGCUGCAGGAUCGGGAUGCCCCACCGCUUGGGUGAUCGAUGUUGCUGGUCACCGGGCGACGUAUCGGGGAAGGGUCGUGGAGGACCGGACUGACGAGCGUGGACGUCUGACGAAAGGAGUUCUAUGGCGCAUGGAGUUGAGCUUCAACUUGCCGACUUCAGAUCGUUGUGGGUUUGGCACUGGGAGGUUAGGUUUGGGCAGGCGUCAUGUUUUGUGUAGAGCUCUGAUUCGUUUUGCUUUUGGGAUCGGGUAGGUUUCCGACGCAUGACUUUUCGUGUGGUUCUCUUACUGAGGGAUCACAGUGAGUCAGUUGGACCAUAGGGGUCUUUGCUUAGGCCAUAUUGAGGCCGACUUUCUCCUAGUGGUUUGUAAUUAUAAUUUUCUCACUUACACUUCUGGGUCUGUAUAUAUUUGCCUACGGGCACACUGCUUUGGAGUCACUGCGAGUGCGCGUGACAUGGAGUGCAGCUGAGGCUGUACAUGUAUAUAUGUUGUAUAUCGAUUAGUUUAGUAGUUGGGUUUUGUCUUUA